CAUACCUAUUCGAAGGGAUAGGGUCGGUUUGGCCGGAUUUCACACAGGUGUUGCAUGGCUGUCGUCAGCUCGUGUCGUGAGAUGUUGGGUUAAGUCCCGCAACGAGCGCAACCCUCAUCCUUAGUUACCAUCAGGUUAUGCUGGGGACUUUAAGGAAACUGCCAGUGAUAAACUGGAGGAAGGUGGGGAUGAUGUCAAGUCAUCAUGGCCCUUAUGGAGUGGGCUACACACGUGCUACAAUGGUGAUUACAAUGGGCUGCAAGGUCGCAAGGCUGAGCCAAUCCUAAAAAAUCAUCUCAGUUCGGAUUGUUCUCUGCAACUCGAGAGCAUGAAGUUGGAAUCGCUAGUAAUCGUGGAUCAGCAUGCCACGGUGAAUACGUUCUCGGGUCUUGUACACACUGCCCGUCACGCCAUGGGAAUUGGUUUCACUCGAAGCU
rnacentral:rRNA from 1 species